GUGCUCGCUUCAGCAGCACAUAUACUAAAAUUGGAACGAUACAGAGUAGAUUAGCAUGGCCCCUGCGCAAGGAUGCAGGAGAUAUUAACCAUACUCUG
rnacentral:snRNA from 1 species